rnacentral:rRNA from 1 species
UACAGAGGGUGCGAGCGUUGUUCGGAAUUACUGGGCGUAAAGGGCGCGUAGGCGGCCUGCUAAGUCGAACGUGAAAUCCCUGAGCUCAACCCAGGAACUGCGUCCGAUACUGGUUGGCUUGAAUCCGGGAGAGGGAUGUGGAAUUCCAGGUGUAGCGGUGAAAUGCGUAGAUAUCUGGAGGAACACCGGUGGCGAAGGCGACAUCCUGGACCGGUAUUGACGCUGAGGCGCGAAAGCCAGGGGAGCAAACGGG